rnacentral:lncRNA from 1 species
AUGACUACAAUGAGCAACUUAGAUAGAGUAAAAAACCGACUAGCAGAGUCACUCGAAAAACAUAAAAACAGAUUAUUAAAAAGUAGAAAUAACAAAAAAACGAAAAACGGUAAUAUAAAAGUUAAUAACGUUAACACCGCUAAUAACGUUAACACCGCUAAUAACAUUAAUAACAUUAGUGGUAGUAUUAAUAAAAAACGUGUGAUAAAUAAAUCACCAGGUAAUAAUAAACGUGUGGAGCCGAUACUUAUAAAACAUACAGAAACAACUAAAAACACAUCAUAUGAAACAAAUAAUAAUAGAUUGUAUAACCAGUUAAUAGAAAAGGUAAAUAAUGCAAAAAGUGACAUACUUAAUAAGAGAAUGCAAGCCAGGAUGAAUAUGAACAACUGCGAAAAAACUGAAGACUUAUAUUUACCAAAAACUAAAGCGAAUGUAAAAAAAGAAACAUGUAAGAUUUUUAAUUUUAUAAACAAAGAUAUAACACAAAAAAGUAGUAAAAGUUGUAAAUUUUGUAAAACUAGUAAAAGUGUACAAAAAAAAAUAACGGUUAGUAAAAAAUUUGCUAAUAUAAAGACAGUUAUACCGAGUUUUAUUAAUAAGAAAAAAACAGUUUUCCCAAAGGGAAAGACAAAAAUAGAUGAUAUGCAACAGAAAAACAAAAUAACUGAAAAAAAUGUAUGUACAGGCAAUAUAAAAAAACAAAUAACUGAAAAAAAUAUAUGUACAGGCAAUAUAAAAAACGAAAUAAAUGAAAAAAAUGUAUGUACAGGCAAUAUAAAAAACCAAAUAACUGGAAAAAAUGCAUGUACAAGUAAUAUAAAAAACCAAAUAACUGGAAAAAAUGCAUGUACAAAUAAUAUAAAAAACGAAAUAACUGAAAAAAAUGUAUGUACAAGCAAUAUAAAAAAUAUUAAUGAAAAAAAAACUUAUAUGAGCAAUCAUGACAGUACAAAGAAUGUAGAUGUAGUAACAGAUAUAAAAAUAGGUGAUAGAAAUAAUAUGUUUCAAGGUGUUUCAAGAGAUUUGAGUGAUAAUUUAAAAGAUUUAUUUAGAAAUUUUGUAAACUGUAAAAUAAAUAAUUUAUAUGUUAUAAAUGAAGAAAAAACGAAAUAUUCUAAUAAUAUUGAUACUUCGUGUGAUAAAAAAAAUAUGUCAGAUAAUGUUACGAGGGAUUAUAAUAGUAAUGAAAAAAAUAUUAGAUUUAUAACUUCGCUAGCAGGUAAUAAAUCCUGCGAAACAAAAUGUAAUGGAGAUGGCUUGUCAUUGGAGGAUAAAACCAUAGAAACUGGUGUAGUUACUAAGCCUAACAAUCCAACUGAUUUGAUUGAUCCUAUCACUUCUAUCAUUUCUGUUAAUGCGGUUGUUCCGGUUGAUCCGGUCAAUCCAGUCGAUCCGGUCAAUCCAGUCGAUCCGGUCAAUCCAGUCGAUUCGGUCAAUCCAGUCGAUUCGGUUAAUCCAGUCGAUCCUGUUAUGUCUUCUAUGUUUUCCAAAUUUGAUAAAUCUUGUAUGAAUAACGAAGAUGUAAAAGAAAAUAUAGAAGAAGAUACAAAAGUGAAUACAAUAUAUGACGAUUAUAAAAACAUACCAAUAUAUAGAGAAAGUGUACAUUUUAUUAAAAAUAAUUCGUACAAAAACAAUUUUAUAAAAUUACUUACAAUAGAAAAAAAUAUGAAAAAAAAAAUAAAAAUGUUUGAAGAAAAUAAAAUGAAUAUUCUUAGUAGUGACAUUUGUGAUGAAAGUAAUCUUGUUGAUGUUGUUGAUGUAAAUUCUGAAAAUUUCGGUUUUGAUUUUGACAUGCCUAUUGUUAGUUCUGAAAUUCAGACUGUUAGUUCGAAUAUCCAUGUUGUAAAUUCUAAUGUUGCUAAUGCCGGUUCUGAUAAUGUUAGUAACGGUUCUGAUAAUGUUAGUAACGGAUUUGAUAAUAUUAGUAACGGAUUUGAUAAUAUUAGUACCCGAUUUGAUAAUGUUAGUACCCGAUUUGAUAAUGUUAUUGCGAGUUAUAAUAAUGAAGAAAAAAAAAAAAUAAAACCGUUGGUCUAUGCUUCAGAAAAUAAAACAACUAACGAAUUAGUUAUAUGUAAUUCUCAUACAAUUUCAGUAAAUCAACCUUUGUAUUGUUUUUUAAACACAAAUAUCAGCAAUUGUAAUAGUAUAAACACAAAUAAUAAUUUUAUUAACAGUAAUAAUAAUAGUAUAAAAAAAUGUAGUAAUAAUUAUGGUAAUAAUUAUGGUAAUAAUUAUUGUUAUAGUAAUAGUAUAGAAGAUUGUGGUAGUGUUGGAAUUUGUGAAAGACGUGAAAAUUCACUUGUAGCUGAUAGUGUAGAAUUAUUUACAAUGCAUAAAAAUGUAUAUGUAUCUACGAAACAUAAACAAAUGAAUAAAAAAAUAAAUGCCAUAAAUAAUGUCAAAAAAAUAAGUGAAAACUUUUCAAAAAAUCUAAAUAAUUUUGUUAAUACUAAACAAAGUGUUAAUUAUAAUAACAUGGAUAUGUUGAUGAACAAGUGUGAACUAUUACAAAACAGUGAUAAUGAUAAGGAAUUACGUGCACGAGAGCAAUCACUAGAGCAACCACAAGAACAACCACAAGAACAACCACAAGAACAACCACAAGANNNNNNNNNNACAAGAACAACCACAAGAACAACCACAAGAACAACCACAAGAACAACUACUGAAACAACAACAAGAACAAUCACUAAAGCAACCACAAGAACAAACGAAGAGAAUCAUUCAUCAUGA